UUGAAAGCUGGCGGCAGGCCUAACACAUGCAAGUCGAGCGGAUGAAGGGAGCUUGCUCCUGGAUUCAGCGGCGGACGGGUGAGUAAUGCCUAGGAAUCUGCCUGGUAGUGGGGGAUAACGUCCGGAAACGGGCGCUAAUACCGCAUACGUCCUGAGGGAGAAAGUGGGGGAUCUUCGGACCUCACGCUAUCAGAUGAGCCUAGGUCGGAUUAGCUAGUUGGUGGGGUAAAGGCCUACCAAGGCGACGAUCCGUAACUGGUCUGAGAGGAUGAUCAGUCACAAUGGAAAUGAGACAAGGUCCAGACUCCUAAGGGAGGCAGCAGUGGGGAAUAUUGGACAAUGGGCGAAAGCCUGAUCCAGCCAUGCCGCGUGUGUGAAGAAGGUCUUCGGAUUGUAAAGCACUUUAAGUUGGGAGGAAGGGCAGUAAGUUAAUACCUUGCUGUUUUGACGUUACCAACAGAAUAAGCACCGGCUAACUUCGUG
rnacentral:rRNA from 1 species